rnacentral:rRNA from 1 species
GCUAUACAUGCAGUCGAGCGAAUGACGAGGAGCUUGCUCCUCUGAUUUAGCGGCGGACGGGUGAGUAACACGUGGGUAACCUGCCUGUAAGACGGGGAUAACUCCGGGAAACCGGAGCUAAUACCGGAUGAUAACGAGAAGCGCCUGCUUCUUUUUUGAAAGUCGGUUUCGGCUGACGCUUACAGAUGGGCCCGCGGCGCAUUAGCUAGUUGGUGAGGUAACGGCUCACCAAGGCGACGAUGCGUAGCCGACCUGAGAGGGUGAUCGGCCACACUGGGACUGAGACACGGCCCAGACUCCUACGGGAGGCAGCAGUAGGGAAUCUUCGGCAAUGGACGAAAGUCUGACCGAGCAACGCCGCGUGAGCGAUGAAGGCCUUCGGGUCGUAAAGCUCUGUUGUCAGAGAAGAACAAGUACCGGAGUAACUGCCGGUACCUUGACGGUACCUGACCAGAAAGCCACGGCUAACUACGUGCCAGCAGCCGCGGUAAUACGUAGGUGGCAAGCGUUAUCCGGAAUUAUUGGGCGUAAAGCGCGCGCAGGCGGUCUUUUAAGUCUGAUGUGAAAGCCCACGGCUCAACCGUGGAGGGUCAUUGGAAACUGGGAGACUUGAGUGCAGGAGAGAAAAGUGGAAUUCCACGUGUAGCGGUGAAAUGCGUAGAGAUG